rnacentral:lncRNA from 1 species
UUAGUGUGGAACAAAACACCUUCUUUACAUGUGACAUCAGAUUGUAAUUCUUACUUAAUACAAAAACCAAUGUGUAUCCUGUCAAUCAAAAUAAAUUCCUUCUGAAUUUCAGCACUUGAAAAGUAUUCUUUCCAGGAAACUGUGUUCCUGUAUGCAGGACAACUAAGUGAUUAAUGCUUUUCCCUACAGCCUUCAUUUUUUGAGUAAUGUUGCGUACAGG